rnacentral:rRNA from 1 species
UGCCAGCAGCCGCGGUAAUACGGAGGGUGCACGCGUUGUUCGGAAUUAUUGGGCGUAAAGGGUCCGCAGGGGGUCCGCCAAGUCUGAUGUGAAAUCCCGUGGCUCAACCACGGAACUGCAUUGGAAACUAGCAGACUAGAGUAUUGGAGAGGUAAGUGGAAUUCCUGGUGGAGCGGUGGAAUGCGUAGAUAUCAGGAAGAACACCGAGAGCGAAGGCAGCUUACUGGACAAUUACUGACCCUCAGGGACGAAAGCAUGGGUAGCAAACAGGAUUAGAUA